AUUGAACGCUGGCGGCAUGCCUUACACAUGCAAGUCGAACGGUAACGCGGGGCAACCUGGCGACGAGUGGCGAACGGGUGAGUAAUGUAUCGGAACGUGCCCAGUUGUGGGGGAUAACUGCUCGAAAGAGCAGCUAAUACCGCAUACGACCUGAGGGUGAAAGCGGGGGAUCGCAAGGCCUCGCGCAAUUGGAGCGGCCGAUAUCAGAUUAGGUAGUUGGUGGGGUAAAGGCCGACCAAGCCUACGAUCUGUAGCUGGUCUGAGAGGACGACCAGCCACACUGGGACUGAGACACGGCCCAGCCUCCUACGGGAGGCAGCAGUGGGGAAUUUUGGACAAUGGGGGCAACCCUGAUCCAGCCAUGCCGCGUGCGGGAAGAAGGCCUCCGGGUUGUAAACCGCUUUUGUCAGGGAAGAAAUCCUUUGAACUAAUACUUCGGAGGGAUGACGGUACCUGAAGAAUAAGCACCGGCUAACUACGUGCCAGCCGCCGCCGUAACAC
rnacentral:rRNA from 1 species